rnacentral:rRNA from 1 species
ACGUAGGGUGCGAGCGUUAAUCGGAAUUACUGGGCGUAAAGUGUGCGCAGGCGGCGUUGCAAGUCGGUUGUGAAAGCCCCGGGCUCAACCUGGGAAUUGCAUCCGAAACUGCGUUGCUGGAGUACGGAAGAGGAAGGCGGAAUUCCCGGUGUAGCGGUGAAAUGCGUAGAUAUCGGGAGGAACAUCAGUGGCGAAGGCGGCCUUCUGGUCCAGAACCGACGUUCAGGCACGAAAGCGUGGGGAGCAAACGGGA